rnacentral:lncRNA from 1 species
GCAGACGGCGGAGAGCUGGGAUGGAGCGCGCCUUGGCCCGCUGGCCUUGGCUGCAGCUCCUCGGGAGAGCCGGGGCGCCCACGCGAGAACCUCCCUACCUGAGGACGCUGGGAACACGGAUUCCUGGAUCCCACCAGCCUACGAAGAAAGCCACGGGUGGCGACCCCUGGGACCAGGACGACCAAGGAGGAGGACGACCAGAACUGACCAGCCAGCCCCCUUGGCUAAAGGCUUAGACCUGUGCCCUAGUGAGGGGGCAUUGGUCGCCAACCCCUGACCUUUGCUAUGCUUCUGCCUUGUUGCUCUGAUACUUGCCUCUAUGUCUCUGCCUGUGUUAACCUGCCAGCGCCCUGGAGGGUUGCCAUCCCCAGGGAGGUGUCAGUCUUUCUCGCUCCACUUGUUGUCGCCCGAAUGACGUCCUGAACGGAAGGGUCCCUUUGGGAACGUCUCGGGAGGCCGACCUGGGCCAAGGGCACAACCAGCAUCUCACUGGCAAUUCCAAGGCCCUGGGUGGGCUUCUGGAAUGAGCAUGAGCCCCGACGUCAUGCCACGGAACUGCCAGGGGCACCCCCCCUCCUUUGAGCUCUCCCUGUCCCUCCUGGGGGGACAGGGACGAGAAGAGCAGUCUCCCAGGGGGUUGUGAGUAUUGAAUGAGAUGAAGUCGCCUCGGGCAGGGCCAGGCAUAGAGGAGGCAGUCGGCAAAUGUUUGUUGAUAAAGUUUGGCCGAUCAGUCCAGCCCCGGCCCGCUCCCGUGUCUCACCGUCUCAUUUAUUCUCCCACAGCACUCCGGAUGGCCCCUGGCCACGGGGCUCUGCCCGCACCAGCCAAGCUUCUCGAAAGGUCUGUCUUCACUCGCUGGCUUCCUUGCUCACCUCCAAUGUCCUCUCCAACCCACUGCUUCUUGACCUCUGCGCCGUCGAGCGGCUCUCGCGAAGCUCCACAGAAAUCCAAGCCGCAGGUCGGCCUGUCCUCGACGCACUGGCAGCGAGCGUCGGCUGAAGAACCGGAUGGAAGAGGCGGGAGAGUCACCACGGACCGGCGUUCCUUCAGGUCGGUCGCCUGGCGUCUUCGGGCUGCGACUCCUUCCCGGAUCGGGCUGAAGCCAUCAUCUGUGUCCUCCGUCGGAAGGGACCUCAGACAUGUGGCUCCUGCACCCUCCAGCUCUGAAAUCGGCAGGCUAGGAUGCAAGUGGCCUUGCUGGGGGGCCCUUCCAAGGGCCGAGGGACCAGCCUCUCGAACGGGCUCGGCGCUCCAGUGACCUUCGCGUCCCCCUCCUCCUUGAAUUGUCUGGAAAACAGAAUGGACAGAUUUUCUGUCUUCAAAGUUUCCGGCUAAACCUCUUCAAAGUUCUUUAUUGUUUGGGACUGAGACACUCAGCAGUGCUAAUGGGUAGUUCCUUUUGUAUUUGCCCUGAAAGGCCAAAAUAUUUUUAUAUCGCUCC